rnacentral:rRNA from 1 species
GACGGGGCCCGCACAAGCGGAGGAGCAUGUGGUUUAAUUCGAUGAUACGCGAGGAACCUUACCUGGGCUUAAAUGCUUAAUGACGUACUGGGAAACUGGUAUUUCUUCGGACAUUUUGCAAGGUGCUGCAUGGUUGUCGUCAGCUCGUGCCGUGAGGUGUCGGGUUAAGUCCCAUAACGAGCGCAACCCCUAUUGUUAGUUGCCAUCAGGUCAUGCUGGGGACUCUAACAAAACUGCCCGCGUAAGCGUGGAGGAAGGUGGGGAUGACGUCAAAUCAGCACGGCCCUUACGUCCAGGGCUACACACGUGCUACAAUGGCCGGUACAGAGGGCAGCCACUUGGUGACAAGGAGCAAAUCUCAAAAGCCGGUCUCAGUUCGGAUCGGAGUCUGCAACUCGACUCCGUGAAGUUGGAUUCGCUAGUAAUCGUGGAUCAGCCAAGCCGCGGUGAAUACGUUCCCGGGCCUU